UCCAAAUCCACAUGGGCUAACACAGUUGGUCAUCUGUUCAUCGUCCAGUUGAGCCUUCUACUGGUGGACUAGUAGAUAAAUCUCCAUAUCUCGUCGCCAUAAUUAAUUAAGGAAAAGUCAAUUCCAUACCUGGCAUUGAGUCGUUGCGUAGAUCGAUGUGCAAUGACUUCCCCAAUAUAUACAUUAACAGCAAUUGAAAUUUAGGGAACACUACUCCAAUAGAAUUCAAGCAUGGAACCUGCCUUAUUGAUCAGUUCCUCUGUAUCGAUUCUCUUCCUCCUCCUCCUUUGGUUACACACAACUAGAAGAGCAAGAAAUCUGAAACUUCCGCCAAGCCCGCCUGCUCUUCCAGUUCUUGGUCAUCUCCAUCUUCUCAAGCAACCGUUUCACCGCACUCUUCACAAUCUUUCUCAGAAAUAUGGUUCCAUCUUCUCUCUCCAGCUGGGAACCUACUCUGUAAUCGUUGUGUCGUCUAUGUCAGCUGUCGAAGAAUGCUUCACCAAAAAUGAUAUAGUUCUCGCGAAUCGCCCUCCCCUCAUCAUGGGAAAGUACCUGAGCUACAACCACACCACCCUUGGCACAGCCCCCUAUGGUGACCAUUGGCGCAACCUUCGCCGGAUAUGUGCUCUUGAAAUCUUGUCAACCAAUCGUCUCAAUAAAUUUGUAGGCAUCCGAAGAGACGAGAUCAAGAUUUUCCUUGAGAAAAUCUAUCGUGUUUCUAGCCAAGAUUUUGCCAAGGUAGAGCUGAGGCCAAUGCUUUCAGAACUAACUUUUAAUAUAAUUACGCGAAUGGUCACAGGGAAGAGAUAUUGUAGCGGUGAGGAUGCAACACAAAUCGAUGAGGCAAACCAGUUUAGGGAGAUGAUAAGGGAGAUUUUUAUAUAUGCAGAGGCUUCAUAUCCAGGAGAUUUCUUGCCAAUUUUACAGUGGUUUGAUUAUCAAGGUUAUACGAAGAAAGUGAAGGAACUUGCUAAAAGAAACGAUGUGCUGUUGCAAGGUCUCAUCGAUGGGCAUAGAAAUGAAAAGGGUAGAAACUCAAUGAUCAGCCACUUGCUUUCUUUGCAGGAAUCGCAGCCGGAAUAUUAUACAGAUGAAAUUAUCAAAGGCCUUGUAGUGGAUAUCGUAUUUGCUGGCACUGAAUCAUCAGCUCUUACAUUAGAAUGGGCAAUGUCCAACCUGCUUAACAAUCCACAAGUGCUUGAGAAAGCUAAGAAAGAGUUAGACUUUGAAAUUGGUCAAGAAAGCUUAAUGGAUGAAUCAGAUGUUUCAAAGUUACCCUAUCUUCAGAGCAUCAUAUUAGAGACUCUUCGAUUGCAUCCUGCAGGUCCACUGCUUCUCCCACAUUUGUCACACAGCGACUGCACUAUACAAGGAUACGAUGUGCCAAGCAAUACAAUAGUAUUUGUUAAUGCAUGGGCUAUACACAGGGACCCUCAGCUGUGGGAUGAUGCAGGGAAAUUUAAGCCUGAGAGGUUUGAAGGAGCUCAAGGUGAGCCCUACAACUCCAAGUUCUUGCCAUUCGGCCUUGGCAGGAGGGCUUGUCCAGGAAUGGGUCUUGCCAAUAGGGUUAUAGGCUUCACUUUGGGAUGUAUGAUCCAAUGCUUUGAAUGGAUGAGGGUAAAUGCUCAAGAAGUUGACAUGACUGAAGGGAUUGGGCUCACAAUGCCUAAGGCUAAGCCGCUGGAGGCCAUGUGCAAAGCACGUGAUAUCAUGAAAAUUUCAUAAGCAGACUUGGGUAUUACAUAUAAACUUUUUAUCUUUUCCUAAAUUUGCAUCUGAUCUUUGUCCUCUGCUUUUAGAUUCACAAGGUUUUUUUUAUAACUCUCGAAGAUACAAGAAAGUCUUUAGAUUUGACUCCAUGUGAACUCGGAUAAGAGAUGUGUUGAUGUUAUUCAGGAUGCUUAACAGGAAAGUGGACUAGGGUUUGGUAGUGCAGUGAAGGAUAGACUGCGUUCUUAUACUGUGGAAUUGCAGAGAUGGAUAUGGAUAGAGUUGAGUUGAGUUGAGUUUCUCUAAUUAUGAUAUGCGUGCCUGUUAUUAUGAUGUUAUGGAUACGUAUGAUUUUAAGAUUGAGUAGAACUCUCUCUAUUAUAUUUGAGUACUGUAUGUUAAUUGUAUAUGUUGAGUUCUAUGUUGCCCCGUGUGUUGGAUUGAGAGUGAAUUGAGCCCCCUAACGCAAGUGUUUGUUGUCCUUGCAUUGCUACUUCAUAUUCUUGUUGUGGAUCUUUUCAUCUUGUUGUUUCUAUGUGAAUAAACGUAAAGGGAACAACAAAUAAGAUUGUUUCACUAUUCAUUUGGAAACUAAAGAUCUUUAGCUUCUUAAGUUGUGACUAAGUGCGAUUGAAGGGGAGAUCGUUUUAGUAGGGCAAUUGCUGGAUUUGUUCUUGUGGAGCCUUCCCGCGAAGAAAUGAAGAUUCAUCAACUAGUUACUUUAUCCUUUUAGAAUCAUCUAAAUUUUGGGGGUUAAUUACUAAUUGGUCUCUCUGUCUAUCUAUCUAUUUAUCUAUAUGUGACAAAUAGAUUUUUUUAUAGUGUUAUCA
rnacentral:misc_RNA from 1 species